rnacentral:rRNA from 1 species
ACGCUGGCGGCGUGCCUAAUACAUGCAAGUCGAACGAGUUCUGAUUAUUGAAAGGUGCUUGCAUCUUGAUUUAAUUUUGAACGAGUGGCGGACGGGUGAGUAACACGUGGGUAACCUGCCCUUAAGUGGGGGAUAACAUUUGGAAACAGAUGCUAAUACCGCAUAAAUCCAAGAACCGCAUGGUUCUUGGCUGAAAGAUGGCGUAAGCUAUCGCUUUUGGAUGGACCCGCGGCGUAUUAGCUAGUUGGUGAGGUAACGGCUCACCAAGGCAAUGAUACGUAGCCGAACUGAGAGGUUGAUCGGCCACAUUGGGACUGAGACACGGCCCAAACUCCUACGGGAGGCAGCAGUAGGGAAUCUUCCACAAUGGACGCAAGUCUGAUGGAGCAACGCCGCGUGAGUGAAGAAGGCUUUCGGGUCGUAAAACUCUGUUGUUGGAGAAGAAUGGUCGGCAGAGUAACUGUUGUCGGCGUGACGGUAUCCAACCAGAAAGCCACGGCUAACUACGUGCCAGCAGCCGCGGUAAUACGUAGGUGGCAAGCGUUAUCCGGAUUUAUUGGGCGUAAAGCGAGCGCAGGCGGUUUUUUAAGUCUGAUGUGAAAGCCCUCGGCUUAACCGAGGAAGUGCAUCGGAAACUGGGAAACUUGAGUGCAGAAGAGGACAGUGGAACUCCAUGUGUAGCGGUGAAAUGCGUAGAUAUAUGGAAGAACACCAGUGGCGAAGGCGGCUGUCUGGUCUGUAACUGACGCUGAGGCUCGAAAGCAUGGGUAGCGAACAGGAUUAGAUACCCUGGUAGUCCAUGCCGUAAACGAUGAAUGCUAGGUGUUGGAGGGUUUCCGCCCUUCAGUGCCGCAGCUAACGCAUUAAGCAUUCCGCCUGGGGAGUACGACCGCAAGGUUGAAACUCAAAGGAAUUGACGGGGGCCCGCACAAGCGGUGGAGCAUGUGGUUUAAUUCGAAGCAACGCGAAGAACCUUACCAGGUCUUGACAUCUUUUGAUCACCUGAGAGAUCAGGUUUCCCCUUCGGGGGCAAAAUGACAGGUGGUGCAUGGUUGUCGUCAGCUCGUGUCGUGAGAUGUUGGGUUAAGUCCCGCAACGAGCGCAACCCUUAUGACUAGUUGCCAGCAUUUAGUUGGGCACUCUAGUAAGACUGCCGGUGACAAACCGGAGGAAGGUGGGGAUGACGUCAAAUCAUCAUGCCCCUUAUGACCUGGGCUACACACGUGCUACAAUGGAUGGUACAACGAGUUGCGAGACCGCGAGGUCAAGCUAAUCUCUUAAAGCCAUUCUCAGUUCGGACUGUAGGCUGCAACUCGCCUACACGAAGUCGGAAUCGCUAGUAAUCGCGGAUCAGCACGCCGCGGUGAAUACGUUCCCGGGCCUUGUACACACCGCCCGUCACACCAUGAGAGUUUGUAACACCCGAAGCCGGUGGCGUAACCCUUUUAGGGAGCGAGCCGUCUAAGGUGGACAAAUGUUAG